GAUGAACGCUGGCGGCGUGCCUAAUACAUGCAAGUCGAGCGAACAGACGAGGAGCUUGCUCCUCUGACGUUAGCGGCGGACGGGUGAGUAACACGUGGAUAACCUACCUAUAAGACUGGGAUAACUUCGGGAAACCGGAGCUAAUACCGGAGAAUAUAUUGAACCGCAUGGUUCAAUAGUGAAUGACGGUUUUGCUGUCACUUAUAGAUGGAUCCGCGCCGCAUUAGCUAGUUGGUAAGGUAACGGCUUACCAAGGCAACGAUGCGUAGCCGACCUGAGAGGGUGAUCGGCCACACUGGAACUGAGACACGGUCCAGACUCCUACGGGAGGCAGCAGUAGGGAAUCUUCCGCAAUGGGCGAAAGCCUGACGGAGCAACGCCGCGUGAGUGAUGAAGGUCUUCGGAUCGUAAAACUCUGUUAUUAGGGAAGAACAAAUGUGUAAGUAACUAUGCACGUCUUGACGGUACCUAAUCAGAAAGCCACGGCUAACUACGUG
rnacentral:rRNA from 1 species